GAGCUACAGUAGAAGAAAGGGGAGAGAGAGAGAGAGAGAGAUUUGAAGAAAUACACGAGAGAACCACAAGUAUCGAAAAGAUUACGAGAAGCAAAAUGGGGAAAAUAUAGAGUUCGUAGCAUAAUUCGGGUUAUUUUGUUCGACGUUGUCGAGAAAAUGGCGGGUGGGAAUUUGGUGUUUGCUGUCAAUGGAGAGAGGUUCGAGGUCUCCUCGGUCAAUCCUUCAAUGACAUUGCUCGAGUUCUUGCGCUCCAACACUGAUUUCAGGAGCGUCAAGCUCGGUUGCGGCGAAGGGGGUUGUGGUGCUUGCAUUGUACUUCUAUCAAAAUAUGAUCCCACUUCAGACCGGGUUGAUGACUUUACUAUAAACUCGUGCCUAACCCUUCUUUGCAGUAUAAAUGGUUGUUCCAUAACAACGUCUGAGGGACUCGGAAAUACACAAAAAGGAUUCCACCCUAUUCACGAGAGGAUAGCCGGAUUCCAUGCCUCUCAAUGUGGGUUUUGUACUCCUGGGAUGUGCAUUUCAAUCUAUUCGGCUCUUCUCAAUGCUAAUAAGUCCAAUGAGUCACAACCUUCUCCCGGAUUUUCCAAGAUGCCCGUUUCCGAAGCAGAGAAGUCUAUUUCUGGAAAUCUUUGUCGUUGCACAGGCUAUCGUCCUAUCGUCGAUGCUUGUAAGAGUUUUGCCGCUGAUGCUGACAUAGAGGAUUUGGGUUUUAACUCCUUUUGCAAGAGAGGAGAAAGCAAAGAAAAGAUGAUAGCAAAUCUGCCUCCAUAUAAUCCUAAAGUCCAUCUUCUCAAUUUUCCAGAGUUCUUGAAGAAAGAGAUUGUUCCGUAUAAUGUUUUGGAUCAGGCGAAAUACAGUUGGAACACUCCUGCUAGCAUCUCAGAGCUUCAAAACAUAUUAGAGGGUAACCAGGCCGCUUCGGUAAAUUUAGUUGCUGGCAACACUGGAUCAGGUUACUAUAAGGAACAAGAAAGGUAUGACAUAUAUAUUGAUCUCACUCACAUUCCUGAACUGUCAACGAUUAGGAAGAACGAUACUGGAAUUGAAAUUGGAGCAGCUGUUACGAUAUCCAAAGCUAUUGCUGCUCUGAAGGAAGAGAGCAAGUUUGGUAAUAUUUUCACAAAAAUUGCUAGUCACAUGGAGAAAGUUGCCAACAACUUUAUCAGGAACUCGGGUAGUAUAGGGGGUAAUCUAGUGAUGGCUCAAAGCAAAGGAUUUCCUUCUGACAUCACUACUGUUUUGCUCGCUGUCGAUGCAUCAGUAAACAUAAUGAAUGGCGAGAAACAAGAGAAGCUGAGACUGGAGGAUUUUCUUGGUCUUCCUUCAGUAUUGGAGUCUACCAAAGUUCUUCUGAGUGUAGAAAUUCCUUUCUGGAAUGCUUCUACUGGUGCCAACACAGAUCUUAUCUUUGAAACCUAUCGAGCUGCACCUUACCCUCUUGCAAGCACACUGCCAUAUUUGAACGCUGCCUUCUUAGCACAAGUCUCUCGCCAUGGAUCCUCAAAUGACAUCAUGGUGGAUAAAUGUUUGUUGUCAUUUGGUUCAUAUGGAGGUGAACAUUCGAUCAGGGCAACACAAAUUGAGGAGUUCUUGACCCGGAAAGUACUCAACCAUGCUGUUCUUUAUGAAGCUGUUAGGUUACUUGGAAACAUUGUAGUUCCCAGCGAAGACACCUCUUACCCUGAGUACAGGAAAAGCUUGGCUAUCGGGUUUCUUUUUGAGUUUUUCUAUCCGUUGAUUGCUACUGACAACCAUUUUGAUCUUGAAAAACCUCCAACUUUGUUGUCAUCUGCUCAGCAGCUCAUUGAGAGUAAUGAAUACUUUCCUGUUGGUGAACCGGUCAUCAAAGUCGGGGCUGCUAUGCAGGCUUCCGGUGAGGCCAUUUUCGUUGAUGACAUUCCAUCUUUACCAAAAUGUGUACAUGGAGCAUUCAUUUGUAGCACACAACCUUUUGCUCGAAUUAAGAGCAUAGGUUUCAAAGAAAAUGUGAUACCAACCGGAGUUCUGGCACUUAUUACCGUCAAGGAUAUUCCACAAGGGGGACAAAACAUCGCUUACUUGACAUCUGAUCUUGACUCGGGCCCAUUAUUUGCAGAUGAGCUUGCUGAAUCCACCGGACAGAGAAUUGCUCUUGUGGUUGCCGAUACGCAGAAACAUGCAGACAUUGCGGCAAGCCUUGCCAUAGUCGAGUACGACAUGGAGAAUUUAGACACACCGAUAUUAUCUGUUGAGGAUGCAGUUAAAAGAUCUAGCUUCUAUGAGGUCCCUUCAAAGUAUUAUCUGCCACCGAUUGGUGAUGUUUCAAUAGGAAUGUCUGAAGCUGAUUUCAAGAUCCUCUCAGCCGUGUUCCGACUUGGGUCGCAAUACUUCUUCUAUAUCGAGCCACAAGCAGCGCUUGCCUUACCAGAUGAAGACAAUUGUGUGGAGGUAUAUACUGCAAGCCAAGCCCCUCAGUACACACAUACCGUAAUUGCUAAUUGUCUUGGCAUCCAAGAACAUAACGUGCGAGUGAUCACCCGAAGAGUUGGAGGUGGAUUCGGUGGGAAAACUACAAAAUCCACGCCUGUUGCGACAGCAUGUGCACUAGCUGCACACAAACUGCAGCGUCCUGUGAAAAUGUAUCUGAACCGAAAGACGGACAUGGUAAUGGCGGGGGGAAGGCACCCCAUGAAAAUAACGUAUAACGUCGGUUUCAAAUCAAAUGGAAAGAUCACAGCACUAGAGCUAGAGAUAUUAAUAGAUGGAGGGUUCGAUAAGGAUGUAAGCCCAAAGAUGCCAAACUUUAUGUGGGGUCCCAUGAGGAAGUAUGAUUGGGGUGCCAUGUCCGUUGAUGUGAAAGUUUGUAAGACAAAUCUGCCCAGCCGGACAACUAUGAGAGCUCCUGGGGAGCUACAAGGCUCAUACAUUGGCGAAGUUAUCAUUGAGAAUGUCGCUUCUUCCCUCAACAUGGAUGUCGAUGCAGUGAGGAAGACUAAUCUUCAUACGUACGAGAGUCUCACCAAGUUCUAUCAGCAAACUGCUGGUGACCGAAAUGAGUAUACCUUGCCUUCGAUAUGGGACAAGUUGGAGAUAUCUUCCGGGUUCAAGGAAAGGGUUGAAAUGGUGAAAGAGUUCAACGGGUCUAAUGUAUGGCGCAAACGGGGAAUUUCUCGAGUACCCAUUGUUCAUCAAUGUACACAGAGGGCAACUCCAGGAAAAGUAAGCAUUUUUAGUGAUGGAUCUGUUGUUGCUGAGGUCGGAGGUAUUGAGCUAGGUCAGGGGUUGUGGACUAAGGUACAACAGAUGACUGCUUAUGGUCUUGGUUUGAUCAAAUGUGACGGAAGUGAGAAGCUUUUGGAGAAAAUACGGGUUGUACAGGCCGAUACGAUCAGUUUGACUCAAGGCGGUUUAACAAACGGUAGCACGACAUCCGAGAACAGCUGUGCUGCCAUUGGUCUCUGCUGUGAAAUCUUGGUGAACAGACUUAAACCUAUGAUGGACAAGAUUCUAGAGAAAACCGGUUCAGUGAAUUGGGACACACUUGUUACUCAGGCUUAUGCUCAAACUCUGAGCUUAUCUGCAAGUGCCUUUUAUGUGCCGGAGACUUCUUCGAAGGACUACCUCAACUACGGGGUUGCAAUCAGUGAGGUGGAAGUGAACCUUUUGACAGGCGCAACGGAAAUUCUGCGAUCUGACAUCAUUUACGACUGCGGAAAAAGCCUAAAUCCUGCUGUCGACUUAGGACAGAUCGAAGGAGCAUUUGUUCAAGGAAUUGGGUUUUUCAUGCUGGAAGAGUACACCACUGACGAGAAUGGACUCGUGGUUCAAGACGGGACGUGGAACUACAAAAUUCCAACUGUAGACACCGUUCCUAAACAGUUCAACGUCGAGGUCCUUAACAGCGGUUAUCACAAGAACCGCGUUCUUUCCUCCAAAGGGUCAGGUACCCGACCAUCGGCUACAGCGAGGGAUUGACCGAAAAGGGUUUGUGAGAGAGGGACAAAGCCCAGCGAAGAAGGCGAGGUUCGAGAGGGGUGGAAAUGAAUUUCUCUGCCUCUUCGUCCCUAGCCGCCAGCUCGCCUCUCUGUCCCCCUUCUGUUUUGGGUUUCACAGGACGAAGCCCGUAUUUGAACCCACAGCUUGGCCCUCGUCGGCAAAAGACCCGUCCUCGCACUCAACGGCAGUAGGGUUUUCAAAUUUUGGGUACUCACACCUACCGAUCCGUCGAGUUCGGAUACGCACGUCGAGUCCUAAUUGAAACAACAGAACGAACUGCUUCAGGUGAGCCUCCGUUGCAUCUCGCCUCGUCUGUUCACUGCGCUGCGAGAUCAGCCAUUAGAGAAGCUCGAAAACAGAUCUUCGCUUGG